AAAAGGAAAAGAAACGAUCAUAUAAACCUGUGUUGUAUCUUAUUUUCGCAAAUAAACAAGACACAGAUAACAAAAAAGACAGAUGUACACUAAUGGAUGAAAUCUUUGAAUAUUCAAAAAGGACAAAAUUACCAUGCCAUGUCAUUGGAAAGAAGGUACUGUUUCUGCAUGGUUCUUCACGUGUUGUAUGCAUUCACCAUACCACAAGUGAUCAUACAAUCAAGGAAUUAGUGAAGAAAGGAUUUCGAAUUUUUGAAAGAGGGGAUACAAACACCGAAGAAAGUGAAAUCAAAUACUUCAUAAGAAUGGCAGAAUAUGUGUUAGAUGAGAAAGUUUUACCAGUGAUUAUUUCCAUGCGUAAUGGAGGAUUGAACGAAGACGUAUUAGUUAGUGCUAGCAGUUUAUUUCUCCCAAUUAUUCGAUUGAAGAAAAGCAGUCCAGACGUUACUGUUUUGACCCUUGAAAAUGGUUCCAUUGAAAAAGCAACUGAACAUAUGACAAAUUUAAAGACCCCUUGGACUGUCAGAAAAUCAGAAACUCUUAUUGUAAUUAAGAAUGCGGAAACAACAGAUGAAAUUUCAGCUAUCAAUGAGGUGCAAAGCAAUUUGGAUUUCGAGGCUCUUAUAUGUCAUGUGGUUA